rnacentral:sRNA from 1 species
UGAAGGCAUACUUUCAGGAGUGAGGGUAGAGCGGGGUUUCCCCCGCCUUGGUAGUCUUAGUAUGCUGGGUAGCUAAUCACUAAGAGCACCACGAUGAUGACUAACUUCAUCAUGACCCUUUCCUUAUU